GAUGAACGCUAGCGGCAGGCUUAACACAUGCAAGUCGAGGGGUAUAGGUUUUCGGACCUAGAGACCGGCGCACGGGUGCGUAACGCGUAUGCAAUCUACCUUGUACAGGGGGGUAGCCCAGAGAAAUUUGGAUUAAUACCCCAUAGUAUUAUAGAAUGGCAUCAUUUUAUAAUUAAAGUUCCAACGGUACAAGAUGAGCAUGCGUCCCAUUAGCUAGUUGGUAUGGUAACGGCAUACCAAGGCUACGAUGGGUAGGGGUCCUGAGAGGGAGGUCCCCCACACUGGUACUGAGACACGGACCAGACUCCUACGGGAGGCAGCAGGGAGGAAUAUUGGUCAAUGGACGCAAGUCUGAACCAGCCAGGCCGCGUGCAGGAUGACGGUCCUAUGGAUUGUAAACUGCUUUUGUACAGGAAGAAACACUCCUACGUGUAGGAACUUGACGGUACUGUAAGAAUAAGGAUCGGCUAACUCCGUGCCAGCCGCCGCGGUAAAAC
rnacentral:rRNA from 1 species